CUCUAGAGGAAAAUACAAGCACCAGAUAAAGAAACAACACUGUAAGGAGGUGGAAUUGAUGCAUUGACUAUCUGUGGAGAAACCUCAAUUCAAGCUAAAAAUAAAGGGCAGGUGGAAACAUGAAUGUGUUGAAAAGUAGUGGUUACAUCCAGGAAUAGAUGUGAAACAAGCAGAAAACAUAGGCAGAAGAAGCAAAAGCAUGGCUUCUCCAAAGUACAGAGAAUCCCGG